GAUGAACGCUAGCGGCAGGCCUAACACAUGCAAGUCGAGGGAGAGGUUACCUUCGGGUAACCAAAACCGGCGCACGGGUGCGUAACGCGUAUACAAUCUGCCUUUCACAUAGGGAUAGCCCGAAGAAAUUUGGAUUAAUACCUAAUGGUAUAUAAGAGCGGCAUCGUUUUUAUAUUAAAGCUACGGUGGUGAAAGAUGAGUAUGCGUUCUAUUAGCUAGUUGGAGAGGUAACGGCUCCCCAAGGCGACGAUAGAUAGGGGUUCUGAGAGGGAUGUCCCCCACACUGGUACUGAGAUACGGACCAGACCCCUACGGGAGGCAGCAGUGAGGAAUAUUGGACAAUGGUCGGAAGACUGAUCCAGCCAUGCCGCGUGCAGGGUGAAGGUCCUAUGGAUUGUAAACUGCUUUUGUAAGGGAAGAAUAAGGAGUACGUGUACUUUGAUGACGGUACCUUACGAAUAAGCAUCGGCUAACUCCGUG
rnacentral:rRNA from 1 species